rnacentral:rRNA from 1 species
UUCGACGCAACGCGCAGAACCUUACCUGGUCUUGACAUCCCGGGAAUCUUUACUGAAAGGAGAGAGUGCCUCGCAAGAGGAGCCUGGAGACAGGUGCUGCAUGGCUGUCGUCAGCUCGUGUCGUGAGAUGUUCGGGUUAAGUCCCGCGACGAGCGCAACCCCUAUCUUUAGUUGCCAUCAUUGAGUUGGGCACUCUAAAGAGACUGCCGGUGUCAAACCGGAGGAAGGUGGGGAUGACGUCAAGUCCUCAUGGCCUUUAUGACCAGGGCUACACACGUACUACAAUGGCCGGUACAAAGGGCAGCGACACAGCGAUGUGAAGCCAAUCCCGAAAAGCCGGUCUCAGUCCGGAUUGGAGUCUGCAACUCGACUCCAUGAAGUUGGAAUCGCUAGUAAUCGCGGAUCAGCACGCCGCGGUGAAUACGUUCCCGGGCCUU